rnacentral:misc_RNA from 1 species
CGUUAUUAUUAUUACGCUUGAAAGAAUGAGCCCGGCGAGUCAUGGGGCCCGAGAAACGAGGGCUGUUAACUCUCUGAGAAACACCAUCACUAGAGUCAUGGCUGUGGUGGCGAGAGUGGUGACCCAUGAAAAUGAAGAAAAAGUUAUCAAGAAAAUAAGUAACGACAGCAGUGAUUCACUGAUAUGCCUUAUCGUGAAUAAUAACCGCGAUAUCGAAUAGAUUUUAAUAAGAUCGCCA